UGGGAAAAAAUUAAUUAAAAUAGCUUAAUAUGAUGUGUGAGAAUUAAAACGGCACGAUAAUUCUCGUCAGGUGUUAAAUGUGUAUUCCCGCCGUUAGCUUAGCGUUAGCUAAGCCAUAGUGUGAAGAAGUAAGUUUAUGUGAAUAUUACAUAAAUAAGGCAAUUUAAAAUAGUUUGUUGUGGGACAAAAAUAAAUGGCCAUCUUCAACAUUUUCUGAGAUUUCUAAUUUGUCUUUUUCUACUUGUGCAGAUGGAGUCAUGAAAUGUGACGGGACAGCCACCGAGGACUUCAUACUUCGGAGCAUCUCAAACAUGCACCACAAAGACGUGGAGGACACACCGCUGUCUCUCAGGACCUAGAAUCUUAAUGAAAGUAUAAUGAUGUUAAGGGAAGGUGUAGUGGAAAGGUGUGAUAGUGUUGAGGGAAGGUGUAAUAGUGUUGAGGGAAGGGGUAAUGUUAAAGGUGUAAUAGUGUUAAGGGAAGGUAUAAUAUUGUUAAGGGAAGGUGUAAUGCAGGGGUCUCAAACUCAUUUUUGCCGAGGGCCACAUUGACAUAUUGGCUGUCCUCUGAGGGCCAGAUGUAACUUACAAAUAUAAGAAAAUGUAACCAGAUGUAAUAUAAAAUGAAUGUAAUUACUCCUUAAUGUUAAAUAACUCUCAAUAUACUAUUUAUUCAAUCAAAUAUUACAGUUGCAUGGAAAAAUGUUUGCUUGUUGCUCUAUUAACAUAAAUCCUUUUAAUUUGUCAUGUUAUGAAAUCCAAAAACUCCAUCAAUCAAGAACCAAACUAUUCAAGUGAAUAGAAAUUACAUCAAGUACAAGUUAUAUUAACUUUGAUCAAAACGUUUGAUACUGAAAUAAGGCUUAAUAAAUAUAAAAUCAAAAAUUGUGAGCUGUGACAGAUUUAGCAUUUCCUCAGAUUUAGCAGUUCCUCAUCCAACCACUAGUCGGAGCUGCAGCUGCAGCACCACAAGCCCGCAGUCUUUGCUUAGUCAGAGCUACAGCCCAGCCACGGGCUACAGGACUCAGCUGAGCCUGUCUGGAGCGUUUUGAAAUUUUUUAAGUUCUUCUGUGUAUGAAAUAAAAUAACCCCACUAACCGGAUAAUACAGCUCUCUACAGUUCAUCUUUCAGCCCAAGCAGCUAACAGCAGCAGUUUAGAGCAGCGUCACGGAGGCACUGCUGGGAUUACAUUAUAAACAGGUCAGUUAGCGCUGCUAACCUCAGGAUGUUUAUAACUACGGAGUUUAAUGGACACACCACGGCAGCAAGGUUAGACUGUUGAAGGCUACUGAAGACUACUAAAGCAGGCAACGCAGCGUAAGCAAAAAAAAAAACAAAAACCACACACACACACCAAAAUACAAGUUAAGAUAAAAUAUGAAAACGAACAUAAUAAAGCAUAAAUAAUUAAAUUGAAUUGCGGGCCAGAUGUAUGUUUAUUUUGUUAACCCGUGAGGGGCCGUAUGAAACCGCGUGGGCCGGUACUUUGAGACCCCUGGUGUAAUGUAAAGGUGUAAUAGUGUUGAGGGAAGGUGUAAUGUUAAAGGUGUAAUAGUUUUGAGGGAAGGUGUAAUAGUGUUGAGGGAAGGUGUAAUGUUAAAGGUGUAAUAGUUUUGAGGGAAGGUGUAAUAGUUUUGAGGGAAGGUGUAAUAGUGUUGAGGGAAGGUGUAAUGUUAAAGGUGUAAUAGUGUUGAGGGAAGGUAUAAUAUUGUUAAGGGAAGGUGUAAUGUAAAGCUGUAAUAGUUUUAAGGGAAGGUAAAUGUUUAGUGAAAUUGUUAUGGUGUGAAUCUAAGGUGUAUGUUAUGUUGAUGUAAAAUAAAGGCAUUAACCCCAAA